rnacentral:rRNA from 1 species
UACAGAGGGGGCGAGCGUUGUUCGGAAUUACUGGGCGUAAAGCGCACGUAGGCGGCUCCAAAAGUCGGAUGUGAAAUCCCUCGGCUCAACCAAGGAAGUGCACCCGAAACUGCGGAGCUUGAGUAUGGAAGAGGGUCGCGGAAUUCCCGGUGUAGAGGUGAAAUUCGUAGAUAUCGGGAGGAACACCAGUGGCGAAGGCGGCGACCUGGGCCAAUACUGACGCUGAGGUGCGAAAGCGUGGGGAGCAAACAGG